GAGUNUAUCCUGGCUCAGAUUGAACGCUGGCGGCAUGCUUUACACAUGCAAGUCGAACGGCAGCGCGGGGCAACCUGGCGGCGAGUGGCGAACGGGUGAGUAAUACAUCGGAACGUACCCAGAAGUGGGGGAUAACGUAGCGAAAGUUACGCUAAUACCGCAUACGAUCUACGGAUGAAAGUGGGGGACCUUCGGGCCUCAUGCUUUUGGAGCGGCCGAUGUCUGAUUAGCUAGUUGGUAGGGUAAAGGCCUACCAAGGCGACGAUCAGUAGCUGGUCUGAGAGGACGACCAGCCACACUGGGACUGAGACACGGCCCAGACUCCUACGGGAGGCAGCAGUGGGGAAUUUUGGACAAUGGGCGCAAGCCUGAUCCAGCAAUGCCGCGUGAGUGAAGAAGGCCUUCGGGUUGUAAAGCUCUUUUGUCAGGGAAGAAACGGCUGAGGCUAAUAUCCUCGGCUAAUGACGGUACCUGAAGAAUAAGCACCGGCUAACUACGUGCCAGCAGCCGCGGUAAUACGUAGGGUGCAAGCGUUAAUCGGAAUUACUGGGCGUAAAGCGUGCGCAGGCGGUUUUGUAAGUCUGACGUGAAAGCCCCGGGCUCAACCUGGGAAUUGCGUUGGAGACUGCAAGGCUUGAAUCUGGCAGAGGGGGGUAGAAUUCCACGUGUAGCAGUGAAAUGCGUANAGAUGUGGAGGAACACCGANGGCGAAGGCAGNNNCCUGGNCCAAGA
rnacentral:rRNA from 2 species